GUUGGUGGCUGGAGCCACGGGGGUCCACCCGGGCCCAUAUCGAACCCGGCAGUUAAGCCUGUGAGCGCGGAUGGUACUGCCCUGGCGACGGGGUGGGAGAGUACGCCGCUGCCAACC
rnacentral:rRNA from 2 species